UUUUUAGUCACAAUAAUACUGACAUAUGACAUUGUCUUUAUAACCCAUUCAUUUGUGAGAAAACAAUUUUCUACUUAUUUUCUUAAAACAUAGGGACUGAGUGGCUGCUGCAGCUUCUGAAAUGGACACUCAACAUUAAUGAGCACUAGCCUAUGGUGACCUAUUCAGAAUGGAAGACUCACAGUGUGACAUUCUGUUUAAGUGGGCUAAAUGAUUGGACAUCAGUCACAGGAGUUUAAAGUCUGUGAGGCAGCUGUCCUUGGUUUCUGUAGAAUAAGGGGCACUGGACAUUCUCACAGCAGAGAAAGGGAUAGAAGAAAUUACCCUUCCAGUGAAGGUGUGCUCCACAGCUGCAACUUCAUAUCCUCCUCAAGAUGCAGAGGAGAAUUCAACUGGCUUUUCAGAUCAGCCUGCCCAAGGGCCAGAACUGAAACAAUUCAUCCCAUCUGGCAUUUCCUGACAUUUGGAGGAUUGCCUGUCCUGGUCUAGAGCCAUCUCCUUACUCCUGGAAUUUCCUGAUCUUGAUCUACAGGUGUUAACCUCCAGACAAUGUUGAAUAACAUCACUCCAUGUUCUCUGCCCCUUAGCUCCAACUGGCUGGAGGAGGAAAAAAUGCCUGACCUGGGCUGAGUUUGGGGCAAGUGGGUUAUCUCUUCAGGGAUUUGGAAUUGUAACUGAAGACAGUUGGUUGGUCUAAGAUAAUCUUAAUGUAAAAUUGACAGCCAGGAAUAUCACAUAAGCCAGUCUGUAUAGAGAAAAAAGGAUAAAGCAAAAUCAGAAGACAUGUAGGAGAAAUAAGACUUAAGAUGGGUACUGAGAAAGAAAGAAAGAAAAAGAGAGAGAAAAUGAAUGAACAGACUUUAGGGUUUUGUUUUGUUUUCUUUUUAAGCUCUACAGAUCCUUGUUCCACUUCCUUUUUGAAGCUUGGAUACAUUUCUAAAAUUCAGUUCCAUGACACUUCUGAAUUUUUGUAAUUACUUUUUUUGAGAUUUUAUGUAUUUAUUUGAGAGAGGGAGAGAGAUCAUGAGCAGGGGAAGGGGCAUAAGGAGAGGAGGGAGAGAGAGGAACAGACUCCCCUACUGAGCAGGAAGCCUGACCUGGGGCUCCAAUCCAGGACCCCAGGAUCAUGAGCCGAGGCAAAGGCAGAUGCUUAAUCAACUGAGCCACCCAUGUGCUCCUGAAUUUUUUUUAAAUUUCUAUGACAUAAAACCCUUGUUUGGCUUAAGCAAAAACACCAACAACCCAAGGUCUUAAGGAACUCCAUAGACUCUUCAGGCCUGAAGCACUAGCCAAAGUCCACAGCCCAUUAAUCCCUCCUACUCUUUGAUUUUAUAGUUGUUUUCCACUUUAAACUAACAUGGGGGAUCCCUGGGUGGCGCAGCGGUUUGGCGCCUGCCUUUGGCCCGGGGCGCGAUCCUGGAGACCCGGGAUCGAGUCCCACAUCGGGCUCCCGGUGCAUGGAGCCUGCUUCUCCCUCCGCCUGUGUCUCUGCCUCUCUCUCUCUGUGACUAUCAUAAAUAAAAAAAAAAAAUAAUAAAAAAUAAACUAACA
ensembl:lncRNA